GCCGGCAUAGCUCAGCUGGUAGAGCAUCUGACUUGUAAUCAGAAGGUCUUCGGUUCGAUCCCGAAUGCCGGCUCCA
rnacentral:tRNA from 1 species